GAUGAACGCUGGCGGCGUGCCUAACACAUGCAAGUCGAGCGGAGAGUACCGCCGAUGGAAGCUUCGGCCGAAAUCAUGGUAUUCUUAGCGGCGGAUGGGUGAGGAACGCGUGGAGAACCUGCCGCGCACAGGGGGAUAACAGUUGGAAACGCCUGUUAAUACCGCAUAUGCUCACGUUGCCGCAUGGCAAUGGGAGGAAAGAAUUAUCGGUGCGUGAUGGCUCCGCGUCGGAUUAGCCAGUUGGCGGGGUAACGGCCCACCAAAAGCGAUGAUCCGUAGCCGGCCUGAGAGGGCGACCGGCCACAUUGGGACUGAGACACGGCCCAAACUCCUACGGGAGGCAGCAGUGGGGGAUAUUGCACAAUGGGCGCAAGCCUGAUGCAGCGACGCCGCAUGAAGGAAGAAGUACUCCGGUAUGUAAACUUCUAUCAGCAGGGAAGAAGAUGACGGUACCUGAGUAAGAAGCCCCGGCUAACUACGUGCCAGCAGCCGCGGUAAUACGUAGGGGGCAAGCGUUAUCCGGAUUUACUGGGUGUAAAGGGAGCGCAGACGGCCAUACAAGUCUGAUGUGAAAUCCCGGGGCUCAGCCGCGGGACUGCAUUGGAAACUGUAAGGCUAGAGUACUGGAGGGGUAAGCGGAAUUCCUGGUGUAGCGGUGAAAUGCAUAGAUAUCAGGAGGAACACCGGUGGCGAAGGCGGCUUACUGGACAGAGACUGACGUUGAGGCUCGAAAGCGUGGGGAGCAAACAGGAUUAGAUACCCUGGUAGUCCACGCUGUAAACGAUGAUUACCAGGUGUGGGAAGGCAAAGCCUUUCCGUGCCGAAGCUAACGCAAUAAGUAUCC
rnacentral:rRNA from 1 species